rnacentral:rRNA from 1 species
CCUACGGGAGGCAGCAGUAGGGAAUCUUCCACAAUGGGCGAAAGCCUGAUGGAGCAACGCCGCGUGGGUGAAGAAGGUCUUCGGAUCGUAAAACCCUGUUGUUAGAGAAGAAAGUGCGUGAGAGUAACUGUUCACGUUUCGACGGUAUUUAACCAGUAAGCCACGGCUAACUACGUGCCAGCAGCCGCGGUAAUACGUAGGUCGCAAGCGUUAUACGGAUUUAAUGGGCGUAAAGGGAACGCAGGCGGUCUUUUAAGUCUGAUGUGAAAGGCGUCGGCUUAACCGGAGUAGUGCAUUGGAAACUGGGAGACUUGAGUACAGAAGGGGAGAGUGGAACUCCAUGUGUAGCAGUGAAAUGCGUAGAUAUAUGGAGGAACACCAGUGGCGAAGGCGGCUCUCUGGUCUGUAACUGACGCUGAGGUUCGAAGGCGAGGGUAGCGAACGGGAUUAGAUACCCGUGUAGUC